rnacentral:rRNA from 1 species
AGAACUUCAGGACAUUGAGCCAGGCAGGCAGGGAGAGCAAAAGUUGGCCCAUGUCCAUGUGUUGCGGCGUGUGAAUCCCAGGGCGCUUCUCCUUUGGCACGGCGGCCGGCAUGUGUUGGUGAUAGGAGGCAGGAGCUAUAGCGAGUUGAGUCGAAGAAGGUCCAUGCACGGAAGCUACCUAGCUAGCCUUGUGGUGCGUGCCAAAGGAGAAUUGCCCUGCGAUUCACCUCGGCUGCUCCGUCACUGUGAUCCAACAGGUGUGCCAUGAAGUGUGGCAAUGGCUUGCUGUUGGCAUUUCAAACAAUUUAUGGGAAAAGAAUGGACAUGAUGGAAAUUUCUCAUUCUUCUACAUGUUAAAGUUAAACGAUGUACAGAAUGACCUACAUUCUUACAGGUUGCUACAAUUACAGAGAAUCAGCCACAGAGAUCAAUUUAGCUCCAUGAAAAAUCUGGUGGGCCUCAGCGGCGGCAUGUUAUCUUGGAGAUUUCACUGAAAUGCACCUUCCACACAAGACGAGUCUUGAUAGGGCUCGCGAUCUUCGAGUCCUUAUCUUCAAUUCUGAGAGCUGCAGCGAAAUGACACAAUGUCGCUCAGCAAGGAUGAGAAAGUAAAGCUGACAAGAAAAUCAUGAAGUGGAAAUAUUCUAUCACCUUCCCUCAAAAAAUUAAUUCUAUCACCGUUUGAUCAACGAGAAAUGCAUGUAUCCCAUGACAUACAGCCACUUUCCAGACAGUAUUAAACUAAGAUCUCACGCUGAUGAUGAUCCUUUUACGAAGAACUCUACCGUUUCUAUUUAGCACUCCCUUUGAAGCCACAGUUCACUUAUUUUGUCUUUUGGAAGCAUACAUUCUAAUAUUUUCAGUGAGUCAACGGUAUGAAACUAUGAAUGGUGAUCCCAAAGGAGAAUAACUCUUCGAAAAAUGUUGAUUUCAAGCUAUCCAGGCUUGAUAUGUUGCAAAACAUAUAUAACCUUGGUUACUGGCAAUUGUUUCUUAUAUUUUAUAUAAAUGACUACUUUUCAGCAAACAACUGUCAUGCCAUGUGUCUUAUAUG